AUGAUAGGGCAGUCCGAAAGGGGAGGGAGAUACACGGCCAUCAUGGAGAAUAGAUCAAACGUCGGGUCCCUCUUGGAGCAAGAAGGAGAUGUAAAGAGGUAUG
rnacentral:ribozyme from 1 species